CUUCUUUCUCUGCAAUUCUCUCAUUUUCUGCUUUCUCUGGCUUUAUAAAUAAUCUGCACAAUUUGGAAGCGAAUUCUAAAUCUCUCUCUGCAAUGGACUGUGCCUCCGAAGAUAGCUCCGAUAACUCUCAGCGACCACACUCACACAAGGACCAGCGAGUCUAUUUCGUUCCUCACAGGUGGUGGAAGGAUGCUCAGGAUUCAAUGCCUGCGGAUUCGGAUAAGAAGAAGGGAAUUGCGUAUGCCUCUUUUCCUGGUUCGUCCUAUGCUGGUCCCAUGAAGAUUAUCAAUACCAUCUUCAGCUCGGAUCUUGCGUUCAGUCUUCGGAGGGAGGAGGAUUUGCA
rnacentral:sRNA from 1 species